GAAGAUCACGCUGGAGUUCCGGAUUUAGGAGUCAUCAAGAUCAAGAUAGGAUCCCGGUGGUGAUCUUGUGAUGUACAAUCAUUUAUAGUGAAGUAAUAGAUGUGCUCAUGUUUUUAGUGAUCUAAGUAUCUCAUGCUUUUAUCGGGUUUGCUUACUUUUCAAUCUAUGAAUCGAUGAUAGAUUCCUUAGGGUAUUUUUGUGGUCGUGGUGACCGGAUUUGCAUGCCGCGCCUAAUCUACCGAUGAGUGUAACAUGUUCGUAUGAUCGUGCCCUUAACCUACUUGCACUGAUAGAGAGGAUCGUGACAGGAUUUGGCUUGUGUAAGGUGGGGGGCUUCGGGAGCUGGAUCGGAGGUGUAGAUUUAAAGAUGCUUUUUACUAGGAUCAUAUCUAUGUUGCUUUGUUAUCCAUGCUCAGAGUUACAACAUAUGCAUAGUCUAGGUUGCUCUAGGUUAGUUACCUCUGCUCUAUAUGUUAUCUGUUUAUAUAUGCUUAGUAGAUUGGAUCUGAAUCACUCAUCAACACCAAGUUAAUACUAACAAUGCUAGUUGAAGUAGAUCUUGUACUAUAAGUUCCACGAAUUGAUAAACCUUGGGGGAGUACUAUGAGGAAAGAGCUACAACUGAUCCGUGCGCUUGCGGUUCACAAAUUGGCAUGCUAACUGCCGUCAACACCUGAUAACCCAGCUCCAAAUUAUGGUGAGUUUGAUCGAUUCCCUCUAUUCUCCACUAUCUCUUUUGCGUGGAUUUCUCUUAGCAUUGAUAAUUAUGAAAGGUUUGGUUUAGGGUUAGCGUUUGGUUUAGGUUUUGCGCCAAUUAUACGCAUAAGCUGCCUACGUGGUAUUUUUUCUACACCCAUCCACACCCAACAGCUAAGUUAUUGUUCCCAACUGAACAAUUUAAGAGAUGAUGUACCUAAAUGCACCCACUCGCCAAGUUUAUGGACUAACGACGCAUUUAACUCUUAUAAAUAAAUUAAGUCGAAGAAUGAAACUUCAUGAUUCAACGGGGUUGUCCAAUGCAAAUGUCAAACUUCACAAAUGGUCCUUCCUGAUAGAAAAUUGAUAUAUGAUUUAUUUUGGUAACAAAUGGUUGUUUCUUGGAUCAUUAAUGGCCCAAUACCUAGUUAUUUUUAUGAGUAACAUCGAGUACAAAAUUAUAUAUGAAAAAAAGCCAACGAGAUUUUUUAAGAGCUUUGUUCAAAAUUUGAAAAAAUCUACUCCCUCUACUCAUAGAAGUAUAUGGUGGUUUGAAUAAGAUCCUAUCAAAACUGAAAUAGUUAAUAUUAGUAGCUUUCAAAAUAUUAAGUUUGGAAAUAUAAAAAACACGUGUAUUGUUUGGUCUUGAAUAGCAAUUUCUAGUCCCAUCCGUGUAUGAGACAUCUUAUAACUCUAUUAAAAUAGAAAAAGUAUGGUCAAUGGCACCUGAAAGAACAAAAAAAGUAAAAAACAUCACAAAUUUCACCGGGGAGAGUAACUUCCCAAUUAAAUGCAUAUUUGCUACCGACUCGAGCUAGAGUGUACUUCCUAUUUAAUGUCCCCUCUAUUUAGAAUUCAAGGUUUAUUCCCAUUUCGUUCCCUUUUUCAAAAAAAUACUUAUAUGUAAGUUUAUACCAUAUAAAUAAAAAUAUUAAUAUAGUAAGGGUGAAAGCCUUGUCCUAACGGAUAAACGGAACAAUAUAUGUUUUGUAAGAAAAAAGAAGUGCAAGCAUAAAAGGAGUUUUUCUUUUUGCCAAAUCUGAUACAAGUUAUUGGUACCCCUUAAUUGUGGUAUAGUGUUUCGGCAUAAAUCUUAUAUUAUUUAAAUUCCACACGUGAUAACUUGUCAAAUUUUAUCAGCCUACAAUCAUAUUGCUCUUUGGUCAGAACUAGCGGAGGAACUAUAAGGACUGAAAUACUAAGGAUUAGUAGAAAUUUUUGGAGCCUUUUUAUCUAAUAAUUUAGCUACUUCAUUGAUCUACUACGAAAACUUCGAUUCUAAACAUGAAACUUAUCUAUAUAGUCGCAAUUUUCUUUCUCCUCUCUUGAAACUUUUAUUCAAUCAAAAUCUUGAACUUAUAUGUUUCUUUAUCUUUACCUACAAAUCAAC
rnacentral:lncRNA from 1 species